UACGUAGGCAGCGAGCGUUGCUCGGAGUUACUGGGCGUAAAGGGUGUGUAGGCGGUUGCUUAAGUUUGGUGUGAAAUCUCCCGGCUCAACCGGGAGGGUGCGCCGAAUACUGAGUGACUAGAGUGCGGGAGAGGAAAGUGGAAUUCCUGGUGUAGCGGUGAAAUGCGUAGAUAUCAGGAGGAACACCUGCGGUGUAGACGGCUUUCUGGACCAUUGCUGACGCUGAGACACGAAAGCGUGGGUAGCAAACAGG
rnacentral:rRNA from 1 species